rnacentral:lncRNA from 1 species
CCCCCCGGAAAUCGGCCGGACUGCUAAGCCAACUCCUCCCUGCUUCGUCCAUCCUCGCUUUGCCCCUCCCAUCUACUUUUUCCUCACAAGAUUCGGAACCCAGGUCCCAUAUACAAAAUAUGCCCUGCUUCACCCCUCUCAUCUACCACUUCUAAACCCAGAUCCUGCAAAAUUCAAAACAAAAAAGACAAAAAAUUAGGCAAUAUUACCAUUUUGCAAAACCAGAUCCAAAUCCAAAAUUCUAAACCAAAAAAAAAAAAAAAAUUUACAAAAAUCUUUAGCUUCUGAAACGCACAGCAGUCGCUUUAAUCACAGUGCACCUAGUCCAAACUCCCUGAUCCCAAACCUUCGCCAUUGACGCUAGAGAAGUAAACCCAUUAAUACCCAGGUGACCCAGACUUUGAUUUGGGUUCUGAUUCGCUAAUUGGGUCCCAGAAAAAUUAGGAAGAAAAGAGGGAGAUGAAUGGAGAGAAAUAGGAAAAAAAAGAUGGAGAUGAAGAGGGAGAUGGAUGAAGAGAAAGAGGGAGAG